GACGUAGGUGGCAAGCGUUGUCCGGAGUUAUUGGGCGUAAAGCGCGCGCAGGCGGUUCGGUAAGUCCAUGGUGAAAGCGCCCGGCUCAACUGGGCGGGGUCAGCGGAUACGGCGCGGCUGGAGCAAGCUAGGGGGCAAUGGAAUUCCCGGUGUAGUGGUGGAAUGCGUAGAUAUCGGGAGGAACACCAGUGGCGAAGGCGGUUGCCUGGAGCUUUGCUGACGCUGAUGCGCGAAAGCGUGGGGAGCGAUCCGG
rnacentral:rRNA from 1 species